GUGCCAGCCGCCGCGGUAAUACCGGCAGCCCGAGUGAUGGCCGAUCUUAUUGGGCCUAAAGCGUCCGUAGCUGGCUGCGCAAGUCCGUCGGGAAAUCCGCCCGCUUAACGGGCGGACGUCCGGCGGAAACCAUACGGCUUGGGACCAGAGGACCCGAGGGGUACGUCGGGGGUAGGAGUGAAAUCCCGUAAUCCUGGACGGACCACCGGUGGCGAAAGCGCCUCGAGAGGACGGACCCGACAGUGAGGGACGAAAGCCAGGGUCUCGAACCGGAUUAGAAACCCGAGUAGUCC
rnacentral:rRNA from 1 species